CAGCGUUUGACAUGUCCGGACGAUUUCCAGAGAUGGAUCUCUUCCCUUCGGGGACUGGAACACAGGUGCUGCAUGGCUGUCGUCAGCUCGUGUCGUGAGAUGUUGGGUUAAGUCCCGCAACGAGCGCAACCCUCGUCCUUAGUUGCCAUCAUUUAGUUGGGCACUCUAAGGAAACCGCCGGUGAUAAGCCGGAGGAAGGUGGGGAUGACGUCAAGUCCUCAUGGCCCUUACGCGCUGGGCUACACACGUGCUACAAUGGCGGUGACAGUGGGCAGCAAUCCUGCAAGGGUGAGCUAAUCUCCAAAAGCCGUCUCAGUUCGGAUUGUUCUCUGCAACUCGAGAGCAUGAAGGCGGAAUCGCUAGUAAUCGCGGAUCAGCAUGCCGCGGUGAAUA
rnacentral:rRNA from 1 species